GGAUGGAAAGGCCAUCUGGCCACAACAUCUGUCACUUUACAGAUCACCAAGGUUAAUUCAGCUGAUCUGGCUGGCCAGGAGGAUGUCUGCUUCCUCACAGUUCCAUGAGAUCCCUCCCAAAGAGGGGGACAGCCUUUCUGGGCAUGGUGGCACACACCUUUAAUCCCAGCAUUCAGGAGGCAGAGGUAGGAGAAUGGCUGUGAGUUCAAGGCCAGCCUGGGACUCCAGAAUGAGUUCCAGGUU
rnacentral:sRNA from 1 species